rnacentral:snoRNA from 1 species
GAACGUUCAAUACACUCAGGUUUCUAGUUUUCUCUUCCGUAUUAGAAUCCUAUUUAUAUGAUUGAACAAGAUUAAUUGGCUUUUACUCAACAAGAUAACCUUUUUCCAUGGUUUUAUUGUUCCAUUAUUUCACUUUGUCAUACAA